rnacentral:rRNA from 1 species
UUGAAUGGCCGCGGUAUUUUGACUGUGCUAAGGUAGCAUAAUCAUUAGUUUUUUAAUUAAAAGCUGGAAUGAAGGGUUGAAUGAAAAAUUAACUGUCUCUAAUUAAUUUUAUUAGAAUUUUAUUUUUAAGUUAAAAAGCUUAAAUAAUUUUAAAAGACGAGAAGACCCCAUAGAGUUUAAUAUAUUAAAUUUUAAAAUAUUUAGAAUUAAUUUUUUGUAAUGAUUUAAUGUAUUUAAUUGGGGUGAUUUAAAAAUUUAAAUAACUUUUUAUUUAAAUGAAUAUUUAUUAAUAAAUUUUUGAUCCAAUAAUUUUGAUUAUAAGGUAAAUUACCUUGGGGAUAACAGCGUAAUUUUAUUAGAGAGUU